UGAGGGAUAUUGCGCAAUGGCCGCAAGGCUGACGCAGCGACGCCGCGUGGGCGAGGAAGGUCUUCGGAUCGUAAAGCCCUGUCGGCGGGGAAGAAAGGGCUGUGGGUGAAUAGCCCAUAGUUUUGACGGUACCUGCGGAGGAAGCACCGGCUAACUCCGUGCCAGCAGCCGCGGUAAUACGGAGGGUGCUAGCGUUACUCGGAAUCACUGGGCGUAAAGGGCGCGUAGGCGGCUAGGCAAGUCUGGUGUGAAAGCCCAGGGCUCAACCCUGGAAGGGCACUGGAAACUGCCUGGCUUGAGUUCCGGAGAGGAGGGGGGAAUUCCCGGUGUAGCGGUGAAAUGCGUAGAUAUCGGGAGGAAUACCGGUGGCGAAGGCGCCCCUCUGGACGGAAACUGACGCUGAGG
rnacentral:rRNA from 1 species